CAAAACACAGUUUAUUACUUCUAACAAAGUCUAAAUAUUAGCAAAUAUUUUCGAUUUUAAAAAUCAGGAUACUAAAGUUAUAAAACUUGUGGUCUUAAAGUCCCACCUUUUUUAGUGGGACUAUGUCUUGGAAAUACCUCCCACGGUGCCGUUAUUAAAAUGGCCUUAGAAAAGGACUACUAAAAAUUUAUGGCCACUUUUCCUGUAUGUAUCUUCUUUUUCUCUUGAAAAGCUUCCUUUGAAGUCAAAGGGAUUUUGUGAACAGAUGCAGAAAUAUGUGAAAGAGGCAUUGGCUUUAUAUUAUACUGAGGUU
rnacentral:lncRNA from 1 species